GCCUUCCAUAUAGCUUUCUACACACAGGAUAUAGUUAGUCGAUAUUCACUGUAAUCUAAAUUAAAAUACCAUUUGGUUUUAUAUGAAACAAAACAGUAUCAAAGACACGUGUUUUUAAAUCUGUAAUUUAUAGCCACCUGUUAAAACAUAGCAAUUUACGAACUUCUUGAAAUUUACAUCAAAUUGGGCAAGGUUAAUGUUCCAGUAAAAAGAACGACUGGGAACUUCCCAGACUGUUUGGAUAGUGGGAGUAAUGAGGCAAGCACAGGGGAGGAACUAGGGCAUCACGUCACAGAGGACAGAUAAAAGCUGUAUUAGAAGCCUAAAGCAAGUGUUCCAGCAGGAAGAAAGUAUAUAUUACCGUCAAACCAAAGUGAUUCUUCAGUUCAGCAAAGGAACAACUUGUGCUUAUCUACUUCUUACCGGGCUACACUUGUCCCUGAUCGAAUAUUUAUUACAAAAAAGCUACGUGAAAGAAACACUCUCCCUUGGACUCACAGUUAAACAUUAUCUCCAAAAAUGAACGAAGUCCUGAAAAUCUAUCUGUUCGGAACCAUAGUGUCACUGGCAGCUGCAUUCUUGGGACUGCUGGAUUCCUUACGCAGUUUGAUGCCUCUUCAGAAACUUGAACUCCAGGAGCCCGACUGUGCAUUGACUGGAUACCAGCACUAUCUCUGCACAGCAACUCUGCUGCAACAGGGGUCCCUCAGAACCAAUAAAGCUGUGGGGUCAUAAACAAGUACAUUGAUAUUUGUAACCUUAACCGUGUGCUGUUUACAUUUUUUAUUUUAUUUCUUUGUUGAAUUAAGUACAUUUUAAUAGAAAAGGAAACAAAUCAUUAUUGGUACACAUAUCUGGACCAUUGUAUAUGAACAAAGAAACAACACUGGUAUAAGCUGAAAAAUGUUAUUUGAAUAACUCUUGUUAUAAAAAGUGUUUUAGAUGUAAAAAGUACUUUUAUUGUUACAGUGAACCCUAAAGAGAAAAAUGCACUAGCACUAACGAAAACAAUAUGCUGCUGUGUUCAUAAUCCAGAGGGAUGCAUAUCUCCUGACAGCAUAUGUAUAGUACAGUGGAGGUGCCUGUACAUCAUAAAUAAAUAUUUGGUCAUUUCUUGAGACCAGUGAAUCCAAUUUGAUUAAACCUUGUACUAGACAUUCCUUAGUCUUAAUGUCAACUGUAUGAAACUAACAUCUGCUUGUCUGAGCUAACUGAAAGGGUAUAGCUUGGGAAUAGAUUGGUGCUAGCUCAUAUACUUUAAGAUGAGACUUGGUUGCCUGUUUCAUGCUUAUGGAUUUAGGGCAUGGUGACCACUUUUUCAAUGUUUUUUACAUUAUAACCUUACAUACAGUACCUUUCCUUGUACAAGUACCACAAUACCAAGGCAAUAUUAAGCUUUCUGUCAAUAGUUGGAACGUAUGGAGGCUCUAUGUAGAAAUAGGAUUGUGUUGAUUUUAAUAUGCACUAUAUUAAAAAUACAAGUAAUUUAAGCCACUGUUAAUAUGUGUUUAUUUAAUGUGCUGUUACUUUUCAAAAAUAUUACAUUUUUGUUAAUGUCCCUUUUAUUGUAUGACAUCGAAGAAACCUCUUAUCAAUUUCAUUAUUGUAACAUUAAAAUCAAUUUUUAACUUUC